rnacentral:sRNA from 1 species
GGAUAUGAGGAUGAUCUGGCUCGACAUCUGUCACGUUAGCGAUGGCCAGGGUUGAUUUGGCUGAGACGGCUGGUGAGGCAGCUGUUCCCUCUUCCUUCUUCACUGCUCC